GCUACUACCGAUUGAAUGGUUUAGUGAGGACUCCUGAGUGGCGCCGCCGCCCCGGCAACGGAGCAGCGGACUGCCGAAAAGUUGUUCAAACUUGAUCAUUUAGAGGAAGUAAAAGUCGUAACAAGGUUUCCGUAGGUGAACCUGCAGAAGGAUCAAGAACGGCAGAGCGUCGGGAAGGGAAGGAGUGUAGAUUGCGGUGGGCGCCGUAUCAUUAAAAAAAAAAUAGGAUGGCGACACCGAAUUACGAUGUACCAUCGACGUCAAUACAACGACACAU
rnacentral:misc_RNA from 1 species